rnacentral:lncRNA from 1 species
AGGAGACACAGAAGAUGGAGGGAGGGAUGGCAGCCUACCCUGUGGCAACGCGGGAGUCGCGUUGCCGCAGGGGGCGCAUUGGGGUCCAGCCGUCCCCAGAACGCAGAUCAGAGGUAGUCGGACCUUUCCCGCUGGCGCGCAGCCUCAGCUAGACUAUCCAGGAAUUCCUGCCGACGUAGGCAGGUACCAGAGGCAACUGAACGCGUGAGACAUAGAGCAGAUGAGCUGAGAGGCAGCAAGAGAACUACGCAAGAAUCCGAUCACACCCUCCGCUUCUACGACGACCACCAACACCACCCAGAAGCCAACUUCCGAGAUGCCCCAAGCCAAGAUCAGGCAACACUCAGCUGAAUGUCAUCCCGUACCUCUUCGUCACAGCGGACCGCGGUCACGCUUAAAUGUGCAUUGAAGUGGAAGGUGAAUGUCUCUUUGCAUGGCAGUG